CACACUAUCACGUUUGAAUUCCAUCGCGCAUAAAAAUUUUUCCACACAACUGAGACGCAAAUCGAUUAACAGGCUUGUAAACAAUAAAAUUAUCUGUAAUGUUGCAAACUUUGAGCUCGCUAUCAUGAACGGUUUGGAAAUUAUAGCAGUCUGAAGUUGGUUGCAGUUCGAGUGCCUCACCCUGUAUAAACCCCCCCCCCCCCCAAAAAAAAUCGUAGUUACGCCACUGGUUAAGAGUGUAUUUAUUCAGAUAAGCAUAUACAUUGGUCACCCACAUGCGUAGGCGACACGCGCCACUGCGUAACUUGCGCUUUGAUAGCGCUACACCUCCGUUCUUACCGAAAAAGGAAAGUGUAUUACAAUGUUGUUGUAGCCGCCUCUGUUGCUGCCGUUAUUUUGCAUUUGUUCUCCAUAAUUGCUGUUGAAUGCUAACACUUGUUGUUCGUUUGUUUCUGUUCUUGAUUGGAUAAUGGAUUUGGCGACAACUUCCUUGGCGUCAUCGAACUUUGUUACCUAAAAUAUAGAUACAGUUCAAAUUCUCUCACAAUAUUUGGACGCUCAGCGUGUAAUAUAUAGGCAAUAUUUAGACGCUCAGCGUGUAAAGGGCUCGCCAGGGACACGAGAAAAAAACAUGUGUCUUACUGUGGAAUUGACAAAAACUCCAGAAAAAGCCCAAAUAAAGUAAAAUACAUCCAGAAAGAAAAUAGAUAUGUGACCUACAAACCAUGGUUUCAAUUAAACUCAUGUUUUAACUCUUUUUUUUCUACUUGCCAAUUUAAUAUUUAUUUAUAUCAGUAUUAUACGAGUAUAUGCUACUGAUGGUUUUCAAAAAUGAUUGCAUCGGUGGUUUGGAUUGGAAGAGUGGAAGUACAUCUUUUAGAUAGUAUAUUCAAUAUCCAGUCUAAACAUAAUCCAAUUGUUUUUCGACAACGAAUCACCAUUGGAAUUGUCGGUGGGGACACCCGUAUACGGCAAUAUACAUUAGGGUGUUUUUGGUUUUAAAUAAACAGAAAAUGGUAGUUUUAGUUUGAUAGAGCAGAGAAUUUGGAAUCGAUUUCAUAUAUUUUUGUCCGGAAUCAGUCCAAGAUGCCACUUCCCACAAGCAAAAAAAAUUUUCGUCGAAUUUUGAGGUUAUAUCACUAUUCGCUGAAACUAAUCUGAUAUUUUCCACUUUUUUCGAUUCAAUCUCACUGCCAGAGAUGAAUUCUCAAUGCAAACAUUUAUUUUCACGUAAUUUUCAUUGGAAUAAGUGGCCAAAUAGUCGAAAAUUCACACAAAUUGUAUAGCCUCUUUGACCGGUUCUUCAAUCAUAGAAAAAACACCGACAAACUCAUUUUUUCACAGAAAUUCAUUCAAUGGAUUUGAACUAGACGCUAAAUUAUCUAAAUCCACUAAAAUAUCCAUUCGAAAAAAAAAACAGGAAGGCCAAAUUGCAGCAAAACCAAAACGUAAACAAAAACGAGGUGUCAUUAUGAAAUUCGGGCUUAGUUUGAUGUUUGACAAGACCAAAAUACAUCUGCGCGAAUCACUGUGUGCGAAUUGACUGUGAUCUGUCUGGUUCGGGAUACUGGAACUAAUAUUGAAUGAAAGGCUAGCGACCAUGCGCAGUGAGUGAUAGUUAAAGAGUGACUUUAUUGAUGUUAAGGUACAUGUAUAUAUAGGCACGCUGAUGCGUGGUAUAUGCUUGCGUAAGCUACAGUAUAUGUUUGCGUGUACGCUACACCUCCUUUCCACAGAAGAAAAGAGUGUAUCACAAUGUUGUUCUUAUGUACUGAUAUACACUUUUCUAUCUUUUUUUCCUUCACCGUUUUUCAAUUUUUUUUGAUUUUUCAUGUAUAUUUUUUUAUUUUUUUUAUUUUAUUGUUUUUCAUUAUAUUUUUUAUGUGUUAAUAAAAUUCAGAAAGUUUUAA